CGUAGGGUGCGAGCGUUAAUCGGAAUUACUGGGCGUAAAGCGUGCGCAGGCGGUUUUGUAAGACAGGCGUGAAAUCCCCCGGGCUCAACCUGGGAACUGCGCUUGUGACUGCAAGGCUAGAGUACGGCAGAGGGGGGUGGAAUUCCACGUGUAGCAGUGAAAUGCGUAGAGAUGUGGAGGAACACCAAUGGCGAAGGCAGCCCCCUGGGUCGAUACUGACGCUCAUGCACGAAAGCGUGGGUAGCAAACAGGAUUAGAUACCCUGGUAGUCCACGCCCUAAACGAUGUCAACUAGGUGUUGGGUGGGUAAAACCAUUUAGUACCGGAGCUAACGCGUGAAGUUGACCGCCUGGGGAGUACGGCCGCAAGGUUA
rnacentral:rRNA from 1 species